GCCAACUUCUGGAACCAUGACAGAUAUGGGAAUCACGAAACAGUAGAGUACAAAGGUGACCAUAGGGGCUACAACCUUUCGCACGAAGAAAAAGCUAUAUAUCACAUGGCACUUCUUCCAUACUGAUACCUCCUUGUUUUUCACUAUCUCCUUCGCCAUUUUUCUGAAUAAGUUUGCAGCUCCACAAGUCCACCUGUGCUGCUGAUAUCGGUAUGCCUUAAAACUACUUGGUAAUUCACUUUUGACCAUAAGGUCUCCAAUGUACACAAAUUUCCAGCCUUUCAAGCUUGCUCGAA
rnacentral:misc_RNA from 1 species